rnacentral:lncRNA from 10 species
UUACAUUUAACUUUAUUGAAGUUUUACUAGAUAGCCAAAGUUAGUCAACACUCUCAUGGUGGAGUCAAGCAUGACUUUAACAAACAAUUUUAAAUUAAAGCACAAAAACUCAAAGACAGUUCAUGAAUAUGAUAGCUUUUCUUUCCAGCACUAUUGGCUGGUUUUAGCCAUAUCAAUUUCCAAAGAAAUGAAUACUACCUAGGACACUCCCUUGUAUCUGGGAUUACUGUCAACUCAAUUGAAACGAAUUCUAAGUUCUGCUUCUAAUGCUUCUUUUUGCAGGUUUAAAAGAUGCAUUUUGGAGUUUUGCACUGUUGGACAUCCAAUUUACGUCGUUGUAAGGAGCUGCUAAGCAGUUUAUCUUCUAUCCAUUUUAACGAUCAAAACUGAAUUCCAAUGAAACCCUUGUACUGUUAGUAUUGUACUAUUCUAUACUGCCUGUUGACCUGGGAAAAAUGGCCCAAAUUUAGUGCUAGCUUUAUUAAAUGCAUUGUAAACAAACUACUAUGUAUAAAGCCCUACAAAUCAAGUCAGUCUUUAGGGCAAAAAAAUUGAUUAAAUUUAAGAUCUGACACCAGCCUGCCUAAGCAGGAGUAUACUGCAAAAGGUUCAAAACAUCAGAGUAAACAACUAAGAAAGGCGUCUCCUCAAACAGAUGCAUGAAUCUAAGCCACACUAAACAAGGACUUUGACAUUGUGUGAAUUCAAAAUUAAUUUGUUUUAUUAUUUCCUCUCACUGCAGUGCCACAAAAAUCUAAUUUCUUUUUAAAGUUUCCAAAAGAAGCAAGGUUGUUGGUGGUGGUUGCCAUGAAUAUCCAAUGAAUGAUUCAUUCUUGUUCAAGUGGAACCCAUGGGAAAUGUUGCCAAUAACUUGGUUUAUUUCUUAUCUUCAGUUCUCAGCAGACAACGUAUUUGUCUAUAUUUUUAUAAAGAGUCAAAUUUUUCAGUUAGUGUACAAAUAAUAACACAACGUGAUGAUUGCAUUUGGUCUCAGUCCUCAGGGCUUUGGGAGAGAAGAAAACUCCAUCAUCUUGAUCAACAGUGUGGACUAUGAUUUCUACAGCCUGCUGGGAAGUCCUUUUAUCUUUUGCCUCUGGUGCUAACAGGUACGACGUCUCAGCUUCCCGAUUCCAAGUUCCUGAAGGAUGAGUUUGCUUGGUCUCUCUGAUCUCGUGGUGCUGCACCACUUGUGUCUUGUUUCCUGGCCAGCCUAAGAAUGGCUGCCUUGACUCAGGUCUAAUCAGCUUUACACAAGAAAGGUGGGGUUUUGGUACAGAACACAGCUGUGCUCACUGAUAUGGUUUGGCUGUGUCCCCACCUGAAUUUAUCUCGAAUUGUAAUCUGAAUUGUAAUCCCCACGUGUCAGGGGAGGGACCUGGUGGGAUGUGAUUGGAUCAUGGGGGCGGUUUCCUCC